GUGUCCCCUGAAUGACAAAUGUGUGUCCCAAGUUUUAUAACGUUAUUUUAGUUUUGUAGAAAUAACAAACAUUAAUCAUUUACUAUAUUCUUAACUUAAUAUUAUAUAGUUACCUAUUAUGUUAACUUAAUUUUAGUACUUAUUUUAGGUCUAUACCAUGGACAAUAGUUUUUUAUAAAAAAAAAGAAGAAAAUAUGAUAAUGGGUCAAUACAAAUGCAUUAACAUGAAGUGAAAACGUGAAGUAAAUUCAUCUCAAAACUACACAACUCCAUAUCUUCCAAGUUUUUUUCCAGAAUUUUAUUACAAUGAAAAGUUGAUGAAUUUGCUUAUAGAAUAGAAUUUAGAAUCAGUAUUCAGUAUACACAUCUUACGUACACAAAUUGACACUAAGUAUACACUGAAUAAGGAACCUCUAAUAUUGAACAAGAUACCUAUUAUUCAAAACAUUCCUGGUCAAACGAUAAUAUUUCAAAAAAACACUAUUUCAAUAAUCCUAAUAUGAGUAAUGAGAUUACUUUACAAACAGUAAUGUUUUAAUCAAAAGUUGUAGAAAUAUGUUAGUAGAGAUAUUAUUUGUGUAUAAUCAAAAAUGGCUUUGCAAUGACAGUU